GAUGAAGAACGUAGCGAAAUGCGAUAAGUAAUGUGAAUUGCAGAAUUCAGUGAAUCAUCGAAUCUUUGAACGCACAUUGCGCCCCCUGGUAUUCCGGGGGGCAUGCCUGUUCGAGCGUCAUUACAACCCUCAAGCUCUGCUUGGUAUUGGGCCCCGCCAGUUCUGGCGGGCCCUAAAGUCAGUGGCGGUGCCUUCCGGCUCCGAGCGUAGUAAUUCUUCUCGCACUGGAGACCCGGUUGUGUGCUUGCCAACAACCCCCAAUUUUUUAAGGUUGACCUCGGAUCAGGUAGGGAUACCCGCUGAACUUAAGCAUAUCAAUAAGCGGAGGA
rnacentral:misc_RNA from 1 species